GAUGAACGCUGGCGGCGUGCCUAAUACAUGCAAGUCGAACGAGGUGCUUUUGUAGCAAUACGAGAGUAUCCUAGUGGCGAACGGGUGAGUAACGCGUUGGUGACCUGCCCCAAAGUGUGGGAUAACAGUCCGAAAGGAUUGCUAAUACCUCAUGUGGCCAUCGGGUUUAGAAACCGAUGUCUAAAGCAGCAAUGCGCUUUGGGAGGGACCUGCGUCCCAUCAGCUAGUUGGUGAGGUAACGGCCCACCAAGGCUACGACGGGUAGGGGGCCUGAGAGGGUGGCCCCCCACAAUGGAACUGAAACACGGUCCAUACACCUACGGGUGGCAGCAGUAGGGAAUAUUGCACAAUGGGCGAAAGCCUGAUGCAGCAACGCCGCGUGAGCGAUGAAGGCCUUCGGGUCGUAAAGCUCUUUUCUGGGAGAUGAGAAAGGACAGUAUCCCAGGAAUAAGUCUCGGCUAACUACGCGCCAGCCGCCGCCGUAAUAC
rnacentral:rRNA from 1 species